rnacentral:rRNA from 1 species
UACGGGGGGGGCAAGCGUUGUUCGGAAUUACUGGGCGUAAAGGGUUCGUAGGUGGCCAACUAAGUCAGACGUGAAAUCCCUCAGCUUAACUGGGGAACUGCGUCUGAUACUGGUUGGCUUGAGUGCAGGAGAGGAAUGCGGAAUUCCAGGUGUAGCGGUGAAAUGCGCAGAUAUCAGGAGGAACACCGGUGGCGAAGGCGGAUCUCUGGGCCUUGCCUGACGCUGAGGCGCGAAAGCUAGGGGAGCGAACAGG